rnacentral:misc_RNA from 1 species
UGUGGGAGCGAGCCUGCUCGCGAUAGCGUCAUGUCAGUCAGUAUUAAGUUGACUGGUACAGCGCUAUCGCGAGCAGGCUCGCUCCCACA